UACGAAGGGGGCUAGCGUUGCUCGGAAUCACUGGGCGUAAAGGGCGCGUAGGCGGUCUCUUAAGUCAGGGGUGAAAGCCCAAGGCUCAACCUUGGAAUUGCCUUUGAUACUGAGGGCCUUGAGACCGGAAGAGGUCGGCGGAACUGCGAGUGUAGAGGUGAAAUUCGUAGAUAUUCGCAAGAACACCAGUGGCGAAGGCGGCCGACUGGUCCGGUUCUGACGCUGAGGCGCGAAAGCGUGGGGAGCAAACAGG
rnacentral:rRNA from 1 species